AAAAAGGGCUUCUGCUUUGUUUUGCACAGGAGACGGGGCGAGUGUCUCGUCUCCUGCGGAAUCCACAUCAAGAGAUUUCGGAAGCACAAUUUUUAUAACACGGGGCAGCUGGUGAUCGAUCGUCCUGGCGCCCCA